rnacentral:rRNA from 1 species
GACGAACGCUGGCGGCGUGCUUAACACAUGCAAGUCGAACGGAAAGGCCCUGCUUUUGUGGGGUGCUCGAGUGGCGAACGGGUGAGUAACACGUGAGUAACCUGCCCUUGACUUUGGGAUAACUUCAGGAAACUGGGGCUAAUACCGGAUAGGAGCUCCUGCUGCAUGGUGGGGGUUGGAACGUUUCGGCGGUUGGGGAUGGACUCGCGGCUUAUCAGCUUGUUGGUGGGGUAGUGGCUUACCAAGGCUUUGACGGGUAGCCGGCCUGAGAGGGUGACCGGCCACAUUGGGACUGAGAGACGGCCCAGACUCCUACGGGAGGCAGCAGUGGGGAAUAUUGCACAAUGGGCGGAAGCCUGAUGCAGCAACGCCGCGUGCGGGAUGACGGCCUUCGGGUUGUAAACCGCUUUCGCCUGUGACGAAGCGUGAGUGACGGUAAUGGGUAAAGAAGCACCGGCUAACUACGUG